AACAAGGCGUACCUGCGGACCUGCGGAGGGAUCAUUACCGAGUUUACAACUCCCAAACCCCUGUGAACAUACCUAUACGUUGCCUCGGCGGAUCAGCCCGCGCCCCGUAAAACGGGACGGCCCGCCCGAGGACCCUAAACUCUGUUUUUAGUGGAACUUCUGAGUAAAACAAACAAAUAAAUCAAAACUUUCAACAAUGGAUCU
rnacentral:misc_RNA from 1 species